rnacentral:lncRNA from 1 species
GAGCCACCAGCCUUCCAGAGAUCCCUUGUUCCUCGCCGUUGCCUCCUGUGGAAUUUUAUCAACCAUUUCCCUGCAUUUGUUGCACUUCCUCAAUCCCCAUUUCAUUUAUUUCACUUUCCUUUUGUGAGGAUCACUGUCCAGGGGCCUUCUCAGCGGUUCCAGCCCCUCUCCCUGCUCUAUUCCCAGGGGUUUUUUUGGGGUGCCCAUCGUUCCUGGGUGUUUUUCCCAGCGUGGGGGUUGAGCUGUUCCCCAGCUCUGCUCCUUUCACCCCGCUGUGCUCCCCUGGGGCUGUGCAGCUGUGGAAAUCCCCCGUGCCCUUCCUUUGGAGGCAUCCCUGAGCUGCCCACCUUCCCAACCCCGCUUUUCCAGGUGUUUACGGGUCAACCCCAAGGGCCUGGACGAGGAGAGCAAGGAUUACCUGUCGCUGUACCUGCUGCUGGUCAGCUGCCCCAAGAGCGAGGUCAGGGCCAAGUUCAAGUUCUCCAUCCUCAACGCCAAGGGAGAGGAGACCAAGGCCAUGGAGAGCCAGCGCGCCUAUCGCUUCGUGCAAGGCAAGGACUGGGGCUUCAAGAAGUUCAUCAGGAGAGAUUUCCUGCUGGACGAGGCCAACGGGCUGCUGCCAGACGACAAACUGACCCUGUUCUGCGAGGUGAGCCCUGCUCCAGCCCCAAACAGCCUCCCUGGGCUGGCCCUUCCCUCCUCCCGCUGCUCCGGGGGUGCCUCUCCCCCUGCCUGAUCCAUCCCUCCCUGCCUGCUUCCUGCUGGGCUUUUCCCUGCAGUGCUGAUGGCAACUGGGCAGCUUUGGGGAUCAUUUCCUGCUGUUUCCGUGUUCCCUCUGUUUGUGCUGCUUGGUUUGGGGCUCUCUUGGGAUGAUCCCAGCCCGGAUCUGCUCUGGGAAGCACCCUGCUUGAUAAAGGAGAGCUUCUCUUUAUUUCCUUCAGUGGCUCUGCACAGCCAGCAAAGAGAAAAAUGUGAGAAAGGGGAUUUUAGUGUAACCACCAUCCUCUGCUCGCUGUGUUUGUGUUUUCCUACAACAUCAUUAUAAUUUCACUUGUGCUAUUCCAGGCCAAGAUGCAGCCAGUUAUUUCCAAACCCAGAGAUUUAAGUUGAAAAACCUUAAUGAGCAAAUAGAAACUCUAAUUUAGUGUCUUCAGAGCUUCUCCUGCCUCACUCCCAUUGUCUUUUUAACUGCAAAGCCCUCCUGGAGCUGAUUUUUUUUUUGCCAGAAGAGAGCAGAACAAGUUGUUCUCUCCUUGCAUCUCCUGCACUGUUUUUUUUUUUUUCCUGGGAGUCUUUUUCUUUUGCUGUGUUUUCUUCCAGGAAUAAAAGAAGUGCUUCAAAGUGCUUUGACA